CAGUCUCAUCUCACCCCACCCUUUAUUUUCUUCUCCAGGAGGAAAAUGUUUCCCCAGCGCUGCUGGCAUCCUUAGCAGGACAGAUCCGGUGGGGGAGUUGUGCUGGGGGUCAGGCAGAGAGAUAGUGUUAUGGGCUGGGACGGGACGCUGGGCUUUCUUUCAGUACAGUGAGUUCAGGUCGUUACUCAGCCAGAGGUUUUUCCGUGUGACCUUAGGCUUGUCUUUUAUACCCCCAUCUGCCUCAGUUUUCCAGCAGUUAAGUGGAAUAAUACUUUUCUCUUUAGCUGUUUGGAUUGUAAGCUUUUUGUGCAGAAGCUGUUUCUCCUUGUGCUCUUGUACAACACCUAACACACCUGACCUUGCUGCGUCUGCUCCAGUGCUAUCCCUUUUAAGGAGAGAGAGCGGGUGCGUGUCCUCCAGUCUCCGCUCAGGGUCAGCCGGUUCCUCCUCCUUUGGAUUUUCAGUCAGAACAGUUGUACCAGGCUCGAGAAGGUUCAUAUGUCACUUCUGAAUGGAGUCCAAGGUAAUUAAUCCUCCAUGUGGGCCCUCAACGAAGGGAGAUGCUUUCCAUGGCCUGGAACCAGUCAGUGAUAGCUUCACCUCCAGGAGUAGCACGAAAUUUCAGGGGACCCAGCUGAGGGAUUUGACAAAAUCGGUGAGGCUGUGGUUUGUUCUCUCUUGUCAUUCAAUAGUCCUGAGCCGCUUGUUGGUGCGAGGCCUGCCAGCAAUGAUGGAGAGACCUGCUCAGCUCUUGGCAAUGACAUUUUUUGCGCAGCCCCAAACCCAGAGCUCUCCUGUAAUGCUCACUGUUCCCUUCUGCAUCCUACUCUACAGCUGUGGUGCUGCCCGGUCCCAAUGUCUGGACGUGACCUUGUGGGCAGCAGAAGCUGCUUGCAGGUUUUUCAGGCCUCCAGCAAGGUUAUCCAGAAAUGAGAGAACUCUAGCAGAAAAGCUUGCCUCACCAGAUAAAAGCUGGAGGAUUUGGCUUUGUCUCAAAGUCUUGGAUCUAAUUGAAAUACUUCAAGAGCGAACAUGGGCACUGGGUCAACUGUGUGGUCCUUGAGCCUUAGGACCCUUGCAAAAUACAUGCUGUGUGCAGGCUUCGGUGUGCCCUGAAGCCUCUAACCCACUAUUUCCAUGUAAAUUGAACUUGUAAUUUUUGUCAAGAGAGAUUUAAUGAAGAGAAGUCUGCGGCGUUCUUCAGGAAUAAAAAGGAGCAUAUUGGGAAACCUGAACUGGCA
rnacentral:lncRNA from 1 species